UACAGAGGGUGCGAGCGUUGUCCGGAAUCACUGGGCGUAAAGGGCGCGUAGGCGGCUUGAUAAGCGUGCGGUGAAAGCCCGGGGCUCAACCCCGGGUCGGCCGUGCGAACUGUCGAGCUGGAGCACUGUAGAGGCAGGUGGAAUUCCGGGUGUAGCGGUGGAAUGCGUAGAGAUCGGGAAGAACAUCAGUGGCGAAGGCGGUCUGCUGGGCCGUUGCUGACGCUGAGGCGCGACAGCGGUGGGGAGCAAACAGG
rnacentral:rRNA from 1 species